UAUUCGGCCUUAUUUAAGGCCACUAUAUUACUUAGUGAGACAACUU
rfam:Capsicum annuum cultivar Zunla-1 chromosome 1, whole genome shotgun sequence